GACGAACGCUGGCGGCGUGCUUAAUACAUGCCAGUCAACCGAAACAGUCGUAGCUAUAUCGCUGUGGAGGGGGCGCACGGGGGAGUAACCCCUUGGUAAUCUGCCUUCUGGUCUGGCAUAACUCUGGGAAACCGGGGCUAAUAGCAGCUGAUGCAGUGGCUCGACAUGGUGACAGUUGGUAAAGCUAUGGCGCUUGAAGAGGAGCCUCCGUCUGAUUAGCUAGUUGGUGGGUUAACGGCCGAGCAAGGCAACGAUCAGUAGCUGGUCUGAGAGGAUGAUCGGCCAGACUGGAAGUGAGACACGGUCCGGACUGCGACGGGAGGCAGCAGUAAAGGAUAGUGCGCAAUGGGGGAAAUUCUGAAGCAGCAACGACGCGUGAGAGGCGAAGCGCUGUUGGUUGUAAACCUCUGUGGUGAGAGAAAAAAAUUCCAAUCGUUGGGACAUGACGGUAUCGGGAAAAUAAGCCCCGGCUAACUACGUG
rnacentral:rRNA from 1 species